GGAGGUAUAGCUCAGUGGUAGAGUGCAUGCCUAGCAUGCAUGAGGUCCUGGGUUCAAUUCCCAGUACCUCUA
rnacentral:tRNA from 1 species